CUGCUCGUCCGAGGCCAGGUUGGAGAACAUGGGGAUGAUCUCGCUCUUGACGUGCUCCAGCUCCCCCCAGGUGUGCCCAGGUGUGCCCAGGUGUGCCCAGGUGUGCCGUACCUGCUCGUCCGAGGCCAGGUUGGAGAACAUGGGGAUGAUCUCGCUCUUGACGUGCUCCAGCUCCCCCCAGGUGUGCCCAGGUGUGUUUUUACGCCCCCCAGGUGUGCCCAGGUGUGCCCAGGUGUGCCCAGGUGUGCCCAGGUGUGUUUUUACGCCCCCCAGGUGUGCCCAGGUGUGCCCAGGUGUGCCGUACCUGCUCGUCCGAGGCCAGGUUGGAGAACAUGGGGAUGAUCUCGCUCUUGACGUGCUCCAGCUCCCCCCAGGUGUGCCCAGGUGUGUUUUUACGCCCCCCAGGUGUGCCCAGGUGUGCCCAGGUGUGCCCAGGUGUGCCCAGGUGU